UCGUCCAAAUCUUUGACCGCACUCGGAACAGCCAAAUGGUUUUUGUCCCAUAUGGAUACUCAUGUGCGUGCUCAGAAUGCUCUUUAGUCCAAAUCUUUGACCACAUUCAGAACAGCCAAAUGGCUUUUGUCCUGUAUGAAUAAUCAUGUGUUUGUUCAAAGUGCUCUUUUGUCCAAAUAUUUGAAGCACAUUCAGAACAGCCAAAUGGUUUUUUGCCCUGUAUGAAUCUCAUGUGUGUCUUCAGGUUACUCUUUUGUCCAAAUCUUUGACCACAUUCACAACAGCCAAAUCGUUUUUUGCUCUGUAUGAAUUAUCAUGUGUCCAUUCAAGUGGCUCUUCUGUCUAAAUCUUUGACCACAUUCAGAACAGCCAAAUGGUUUUUGUCCUGUAUGAAUAAUCAUGUGUUUCUUCAGUGUGCUCUUUAGUCCAAAUCUUUGACCACAUUCAGAACAAUCAAAUGGUUUUUGUCCUGUAUGAAUUCUCAUGUGAGUAUUCAGGUUACUCUUUUGUCCAAAUUUCUGACCACACUCAGAACAUACAAAUUGUUUUUGUCCUGUAUGAAUUAUCAUGUGUGUGUUCAGGUAGCUCUUUUGACUAAAUCUUUUACCACAUUCAGAACAGCCAAAGGGUUUUUGUUCUGUAUGAAUUGUCCUGUGUUUGUUCAAACUGAUAUUUGAGCAAUUAAAUUCUUUCUCAGCAAUGUUGCAAUUGCUUGAAAUAACAACAUUGGUAUUUUUCUGACAGUUAAAACUUGACUGAAGUUCUCUGGUCUGUUUCCAGUCAUAACUGUCAUCAGUCUCAGUUCCAGAACUGUCUGAACUCCUGCCACUGGUAUCUGGUUGUAAAUGACUGUUUGGACCUGAGGUGCUGG